CCCGGGGCAGGGCGUCCCGUGCCGGGCGGGCGAGGCCGCAGAGAGUGCUCGCCCUCUGCGCCCCGGGCCGAGCAGAGCCAGGUGAAGAUGGCUAAUUUUGAACCACACAGACAGUGAAGACUGCACCUCCACCGAGUGACCUAGAUACAGGCUACAGUUUUUCACAAGGAUACUAUAAGAAGAAAGUGUUAUAAAAAUCAGUCAUGGAUUCACCAUGUGAAGCAAUGGCCUCCAUCACUCCCCUUCAUUAAUCCCUAUCCUGCAUCCCUGUGCUGCAGUUGUGGAACCUCAUUCAUUGCUGCCAUGCUGUGGCUCCACCUUAGUCCCUCAACUCAGGGUGCAGGUUGGAGGGAGCAGGGUGCUGCAGAAAGCAAACACAUGCUGGAGACCUGCCUGAGUAACACAGCACCUAGCACGGGUUGGGAGGGCAAACUGGUUCCCUUUGGACUGUGCACACUUCUGAGAGGAAUGACAAAAAUUUUUGCAAAAGUUUGUGACAAUUUGGUACAGAGGACUAAUUGGGGUGAGUCACUGGUGAGACUUCAAGGUUGUGAGUUGGAACAAAAGUCUCAGUGGAAGAGUACAAGAAUUAUUUAAAUUUUUAAAAUUAUAAUUUGUCAUGAAGAAAAAGAGAAUACUUCAUCCAAAGGCAGUUUUACAGGAGUGAAUGCUCUGACAUGAGCAGUGGACAAUAAGGGAGGUGCCAGAAACAGGAAAAUGUGUGUGGAACCCUUGGCAGGAUACACACAGGAAAAUAAAAACUGAAAAUCCAAGUGAACUCUCUGGCAUAACAGCAUUCAAUAUUGCACAGCUGAUGAAUAAAUUUCCCACACUAAUACUUCAGUUAAAAAAGCUGCAAAUAAAGGACUCACUGAAAAGCACACAGAAUCAGAGCUUGAUCUAUAUUUAAAACAACGAGUUUCAGAGCACGCAUGGAGCUGUCACCUGAGGACACUUUUUCCAACAGAAAACAGAAAUCCAGACUAACUGCAUUAUUAGACAGUGGGGACUUGUAAAAAGGGAGGCUGAGACAGCAAAGCAAACUCCUCAGUCAAACUCAGUGCUGUCAAAUCCAUCUCAUCCUGGAAUAAGUGAGAGCUGGUGAAAUCCAGUGUGUAGGAAUGCAGCAGUCCAACCUCCCUUACCCUUGGAAUCACCUACACAAAUCUUCUCUGAGCCAAGACCAUGAAGUGGGGAUGAUGAAGAGGUUCACAUGUGGCACGUGACAAGAGGUCCUGGAUGUCCUAUCAGCCACUCAAUAGGACUCAGAUAGGCUGGGCCAUUCCCUCUCUCUCUGCCUCCCAUUGCAGAGGGUUCAGGUUAAUCAGCAAUGGAUGAGUCCUGGUUAUGUGAUGUAACCCCAAGAUGAGAACAGCACUCAGAGCAAAGGAGACAGGUCUCCUUGGAGAGCUGAGGCCAUGUGUGAGACAGCAGAGUCCUAGGAUUUAAAUAUGAAUCAUUACCUUGUUGAAGUCUGAUGAGAUGCAUGCUUGUGGCUCAGUUCUGACCCUACCCCCACUCACAUGAAAUUUUUGAGAGCUUUUCCUUGCAUUAGCAAACAUGUCCAAAUUCUGUGUUGCCUGCCAGCCAGAACCGGCCUGCUUCAGCUUCUACAAAGAGGCAGCUGCUAAAGCAUGUGUUUUCCACUUGCAAAAGGUCUCCAGCAUCAAACAUGAUGGGCAUUUUUUUUCCCUCUGUCUUCUGCUUCUCCAGCAGUAGAAUGUUUCCCAGAAAUAACUUGGUCUAUGUGAAUUUACAUGAACUGUUUGUCCCUGAACCAUAAAAAGUGUAUGGAGAGGGUCCAUGAGAUAGGGAGGCUUCAUUUUAUGUAGGAUGAUGAGAAAUAACAAUUUAAUGUCAUAGAAAAAGUUGCAUAAAAAUUAAUUUCCAUUCCUGCUGCACAGUAAUGACCUUGCUUCCAGAAUCAGAAAGACAGCAGAGUGAGUAAUACAAAGCAUCAGACCCAUUUUUAUGAAAUAAACUGUUCGGUGUCAGUGAUAGAAAGGACGAGAGAAAAUGCCUCCAUCAAGCUGUGCUUUCUGGUAUAUUUAGUGUAUAUUCAAUUGCUUCCUGGUAUAUUUAGAAAGAACUGAAUGACAGAAAAUACAGUUUGUAGUUAAGGUCCCUUAUUAACACUUUGACUGAGUGCAGAGUAAGGAAAUACACAAUAUUCUGCAAUGAAUAAAUGAAUAUUUAACAAAUCUGAAUGAAGAUAAAUUGAGAAAAUCCUGUCAUAAAGACAAACAAAUAUAUCUUUAUUGCAUAGGCAGCAGCUCCACAUUGCACAUGACAAGGUUUGCUUUAUGUAAUAGGGUGAGGAGGUAUUGCUAACAAUGUGGAAUACAGUUGAAUUGAGAAAAUGUAUUUUUAAAUUUCCAUAAUGGAGGAAGGCAGCAUGUCUGAGGUUACUCACAUUUUAGAUUAUUAUUACUGCAGACAUUUUUUACAUCAUUAGUUUUUAAUAUAGAUUCUGUUUGCUUCCACUUUACAGCUUAACUCUGGUUUGUAGAUUGAAGAUACAACACAUGGGAGUGCCUGGUAUGUAGGUCCUGUUAGAGCUAACCCCAGGUUUUUUUACUGAAUUUUACACACAUAUAUAUUGAAGAGCAACAGUUUCCUACAUUUUCCAUUAAACAGACCAUCUGUUCCGGUAUUUUUCCAUGUUAAAAAAAAAAAAUAAAAGGCAGAAAAAGCAGCAAAGUCAACAUGCUGAUUUUUGUAAUGUAUCUAUUUGGGCAAAGAAAUUUUCUUUCUACUGAUGUUUGCCAAAAGAAGAUGAAUAUUAUUGGAAGUUUGCAACAAAAGUGUAAUGGAAUGCAUUUCUUCCCAUCCCCUUCAGAGGCCCAUAUGGAUUCCCACUCAUUCCAGGAAAGUUUGUCUGCACCACUGCAGAGGUGCUCUUGCACACAGCUGCUGGUGCGCUGGCUGCUCCAUAGUCACAUUUAAGAACAUUGCUUCAGCUUUUAAGCCUUUGAAUUUUUGCAUGCACAAAUCACAGCAAGUGACUGUUUUAAUAUCAGAAUAGGCAUCAAUGGCUAAAGUGGCAGUAAUGAUUUUUCUCCUCCUCCCAUAUUUAAUAUGUCUUCAUCAGAGAUCAGUAACCUGAAGAAUGUUGUGUGUAAGAUUCUACUGUGUAUGUAAGCCUCUGGAAUUCAUAGAAAGCAAGUCAUUGAAGUGGUUUCAGCAGGGUUACUCAGAGAAGUCAAUCCUUUCUGUGAAAAAACCCUCAUUUGCAGCUCACUUGCUCCAUUUAUAUUCCAGGGACGCCAAACGCUUGAAAGUAAGGCAUUUCAUUGGCAUUGUAGUGAUGUAGUAUAAAAAACACUGGCAUAGAUGUAAGCAACAAUAUCUAACACUGUCAGGAAAAUAUUGGGAUUCCAGGCACAGGGCUCACUUUACUUUGACACAAGUCGAGAUUAAAUCUGGGCAUCUACCAUAUGCCUAAGUCUUCCUACAGAAGGUGGAAUGCCAUCAAAACUCAGCUGAUGUGGAGCCACUCUGAGGUGUUUGCAGCAAGUGACUUCUCUAGAUAACUAGAGCCACAAAUCUGCUGUUUGGAUUCCCAAACUUGAAACAUCAUCACUACAGGUGGCACAUGCAGUUGAAGAAAGCCUCAUUCCACAAGUAUGGUAGAACUGAAAACUUUCUGGAAAUAUCCACUAUCAAUAGCAAUAUUUUUUUUCUUCACACUCUGUUUUUUAAGGAUGGCAAUGAAUUAAAAGAGAAAAAUAUGGGAAUUUACACCCACUGAACUCAAUGAUUAUGAGAACCAGGUAAAAGUAGUGAUGCUUGUUGCUGACAUUAGCCAGAUAGUCUUGGUAUUAAAACUUUGUCAUUAUGCAAUAAAUACAUUAUGCAGGAGUUUAGUAGCUAAACACAAGAAAUUAAACUUUCCAUUUUUUAAAAGUUAUAGUCGAUGAUGAAAAGGGAAACUGUGAGUCCAUGAAAUAGAUCUGCAGUCAUUAUGGAUUUUUUUUUUGUUACGUUGCUGGAGUUUUUACUGCAGUAAUGGUAAAUUUCUAAAUACAUUGUACUAAUUUCCAUAUUUAUUUUUUACUUAGUUCUCAUUUCAAGUGUGUAAAGCAUGAUUUCAUUAGUCUUCACUGAUUUAGAGGAAAUGUGAUAUGGACUGCAUCUUUUUAUGAAAGGGAGAAAAAGAAUGAACAUACAGAUUGUGAUGAAGUUUAGAAAUAUGUUUGCUUCAUCUUGUAGUAGUUCUGAUGCAAAUUGUUACAAGAUUGGUAAGUCUAAGAUGUAUUGUGUAUUGCUUGUAAUACAAACCAUGCCUAGUGAAAAAAAUUAUGUAAACAAAAGCUGUAUUUUUGAGACUUAGUAUUUCUCUCUAUCCUUACAAGCAGGGAUUCUUGUCAUAAACUAAUGAAUUAACUUAGGUAUUAAAAGAAAUAUGUUACCACUAUAAUAAACGGAUAUAUUAUUCAGAUAGUAAGAGCAGGGGAAGAACAGGUAUUUAAUCUUUUUUGCUUCUUCUGAUAUUAUGUGGGUUAAAAGUUAAAUUUAGUUACAGUAUUUUCCCAAGGUGUUUCACAAACCAAAAGUCAGAAAUCCCUGCUUGCUCCAGUGACCUUUAAUAGUCCAAACCAGCUGUUUGAUAGGCCAUUGGAAUUUGAUAUGAUAUUUUGAUUUGAUAUUUUGGACACCACACAUGCAUCUCAGGAGUAAAGUUUGUAGUGGGAGAACUGUUUAAAUUGGCACAGAGUCAAGGCUGAAACCAUCUUAGUAAUUAUAAAAUACAUUAAUUUUCAUAGUUUGGAGUUUAUGACAAAUGACUGCUUAAAGGAAAACACAUAUGAAACCAGCAAAAAAUUGGAAAGGUAAAUCCAACAAAACCAGUUUCAAUUUUCAGCAUCCUGGUAGAACAUAGGCAAAGCAAAACUGUCAUAUUAAGAAAAAAAAGGCACAAGCCAAAGCAGAAAUAAAUAAAAAUCCUUUCCUCUUUUUUCCAUGCAACACUGACUAUACUUCCUAUUUGUUCAAAUCUUCACAUAGUAGAGACAAAUACACCCUUUAAUACAACAGUCUUUUCACAUUAAGGUUCUGAACAGGGAAUUAUCCUCCCACUCUAGCUUCUAAUUUCCUCUUCCUGUCCCAUAUA